GAAUCAAAUAACGAAAAAUUAACACAUUUCAUUAUGGGUAUCGACUUGUGGGUUAUAACUUGUACUAUUGGCUAGUGUACGAUGGUAAAGUAAACACGUUAUUACGGACCCAACGUGAGAGGAUUUUUUUAUUUUCUUUUCUUUUGCGGUGGACUAGAUAUAUACUACUCCUAACUUCUUUGUUUUUGUGUAUUUUAUCAGAAUUUGAAAGCAUGAACUCCUAACUUCGAUGACUGGAUCUUCAAUGAUUAAACUAGUUGCCUAAUCUCCCUUUUGUCUUUUCUCAACAAAAUUUUCUUUAAUUUCUUUUGUUGUUGCGCUCAAUGAGAACCUAGCUUUAAAUUGUUUGUGAAGCGGUAAUUCUAUCGAUACACGGAUUACGAAUAUAUAGAUGCG
rnacentral:lncRNA from 1 species